AUGGGUUGUAAAUGGGCUACAGGGGUGCAGAGUGGGCAUGGGCUCAAAAUGGGCAUCUUAUCUGGGGCCCACUUGGGUGACCCAGAUAGGACUUACAUGGGUGAACCCAGGGGGGCUCCCCAUGUGGUUUCUAGUUGGGUAAUUAAUGGGAAAUGUGUGCAUGGGUUUAAAAUGGGCUACAGUUAUGUCUUUUCACAAGGAGUAUUAAUGAAUUAAUUUAUUACUUUUUCUAGCCAAAUUUAGUAUCCACAAAUGUACAUUUCGAGGAGACAAACCUAUAUAGUUGUUAAGGUGGAAAUCCUACCUAAUUCAAUGCAAUGUUUAGCAAAUAUAAAUAUAAAAGUAUUUCUGGCUAACAUUUCAAUGUGUUAAUUUAACCUUUUUUAUUUUCUUCUUUUGAUAUUGCUUUGAUUUAAAUAUUGUGGUGUUUGAUUUUUUUAUGUAUUUCCAUAAUGUACCCAACAUUCAUAUUUGAAUUAAAAGGUCUUUGCUGCGCAGAACGAUCGGCGUAUGUCAUCAAAGUACCGCGAGAUGCAGCCUCGGAAGGAUCCCGUGAGAUUUCCUUUAGCAAUUCCCAUCCCCCUACUAAAUUACCUAAAUCGCGCUGGCGGCAUUUUCCUAUAACACGUGCACAGACUCGGCCGUACUUUUGCCUGCAGUUUAUAGAAGGUUGCUUUGGUAGCAGAAAUUGGAGGGAGUACUGUUGAUGAAGCAACAAGAAGAAUGAUGGCUUUCCUUUUUGACCACCCCUUAUCAAGAGAGUACAAUUUUGUUGGCCGGCAUGGAAAGCGGGAGUUUCGGGGCCUCAGACUGUUUGAGGUUGUAUAUGGAAUCUUGAAAAAAAAUUCACUUACAAACCAAAUUACAAGAAAAGAUGCAGAAAAGGCUGUCUCAAAGUGGCUAAUCGGUGCCAGGGACAGGGGAGGAAACCGUUCUGCAAGGGCACGUGGAGAACAAGAUAGGGCUGUUUGGAGAGAGAGGACCGAGGAGCUGCACAGAUUUUUUUCCGGUAAAAUGUAUUAAAGGUUUAGGGCUGUUAAGUGUUUAAUUGUGAUUAAUCACAUCCAGAACAAUACGUUUGUUUCUACAUAAUAUAUGUGUAUGUUUACUAUGCAUAUUGAUUUUGCAUUUAUAAACGUAAAUAUUUCCUAAAUAUAUAUACAUAUAUAUUUGUUUUUAUAUACUUAUAUUUACCAAUAAUUGAAAUUAUACAAGCAUUUAUUAAUGUUAAUAUUUUUCUUAAAAAUACACAUGCAUGUAUGUUUAAGAAUGCAAUGAUACACAGUACACAUACAUAUACUGUAUUAUGUAAAUACAAACUUUUAUUCUGAAUACGAUUAAUCAUUUAACAGCCCAGAUAUACAAGUUAUGCCAAAUGUUUUCAGUAGCUUUAACUUUUUUCAAGAUUCAUGUGUAUUAUAAAGUUGUAAAUGUAGAUAUGUUUUAUAAAGUUGUAAAUGUACAUGUGUUUUAUAAAGUUUAAAUCG